GAUGAACGCUGGCGGCGUGCUUAACACAUGCAAGUCGAGCGGACCCUUCGGGGUUAGCGGCGGACGGGUGAGUAACGCGUGGGAAUAUGCCCUUCUCUACGGAAUAGUCCUGGGAAACUGGGGGUAAUACCGUAUACGCCCUUUGGGGGAAAGAUUUAUCGGUGAAGGAUUAGCCCGCGUUGGAUUAGGUAGUUGGUGGGGUAAUGGCCUACCAAGCCGACGAUCCAUAGCUGGUUUGAGAGGAUGUUCAGCCACACUGGGACUGAGACACGGCCCAGACUCCUACGGGAGGCAGCAGUAGGGAAUCUUAGACAAUGGAGGCAACCCUGAUCUAGCCAUGCCGCGUGAGUGAUGAAGGCCUUAGGGUUGUAAAGCUCUUUCAGCUGGGAAGAUAAUGACGGUACCAGCAGAAGAAGCCCCGGCUAACUCCGUG
rnacentral:rRNA from 1 species